rnacentral:tRNA from 1 species
UGGCUGGCCCACAAGGAUUCGAACCUCGGAUCUCUGUACCAAAAACAGAUGUGAUACCACUUCACCAUGGGCCA